rnacentral:rRNA from 1 species
AUUGAACGCUGGCGGCAUGCUUUACACAUGCAAGUCGAACGGUAACAGGCCCUCGGGUGCUGACGAGUGGCGAACGGGUGAGUAAUGCAUCGGAACGUGCCCAGAGGUGGGGGAUAACGCAGCGAAAGCUGUGCUAAUACCGCAUGUGAUCUGAGGAUGAAAGCGGGGGACCAGGCAGCAAUGUUUGGCCUCGCGCCUUUGGAGCGGCCGAUGUCAGAUUAGGUAGUUGGUGGGGUAAAGGCCUACCAAGCCGACGAUCUGUAGCUGGUCUGAGAGGACGACCAGCCACACUGGGACUGAGACACGGCCCAGACUCCUACGGGAGGCAGCAGUGGGGAAUUUUGGACAAUGGGCGCAAGCCUGAUCCAGCAAUGCCGCGUGCGGGAAGAAGGCCUUCGGGUUGUAAACCGCUUUUGUACGGAACGAAAAGGCUCUGGCUAAUACCUGGGGCUGAUGACGGUACCGUAAGAAUAAGCACCGGCUAACUACGUG